GCUUACGGCCAUACCAGCCUGGGUACGCCCGAUCUCGUCUGAUCUCGGAAGCUAAGCAGGGUAGGGCCUGGUUAGUACUUGGAUGGGAGACCGCCUGGGAAUACCAGGUGCUGUAAGGA
rnacentral:rRNA from 1 species